GUACCUACGUCGAACUAGUAGACUACCGGGUAGUCCAGGGUGUAAACGCUGCAGACUUGGUGUUGGAAGUCCUUUGGGGGCAUUCAGUGCCGGAGAGAAGUUGUUAAGUCUGCUACUUGGGGAGUACGUCCGCAAGGAUGAAACUUAAAGGAAUUGGCGGGGGAGCACCGCAACGGGAGGAGCGUGCGGUUUAAUUAGAUUCAACACCGUAAACUCACCAGGGAAGACUGUUACAUGAAGGCCGAGAUGAAGACUCUGCUAGAUUUUCAG
rnacentral:rRNA from 1 species